CCCUGACAGACGAUUAGAGGAACUGGUGAGAGGUCGCAUUCAUGGCUUCAGUUCCUUUCUUGCAGGUAAACUCGUUCUUCAACUCCAUCUUCUGCAGUUAAAAAGCCCAUUUACCCGCUCUGUGUUUUACACUCGAACUGGACUGAGAACUCUCCACAUCUGCUACCUGUAGACACAGGUUAUAAACACCACAAUGGACUGGAGGGUUAUUCUGGCUAUCUUGUGUCUGAUUGCCACAAGUUCCGCAGACAAUUCUACGAGUAAUUCAAAUUCAACAAACACUUCUGCAGUAGCUGCAACAUUCAACUUGGUCUUUAGCAUCAAUGAAACCUUUGUUGAAGAAAUGGCCAAUACCAGCUCUCCACAGUUCACAGCAAAAGCUACAACGAUCCGCCAUCAGCUUGAACCAAUUUACAGACAAACCUUCACAAACUUCAUCCAGAUGGUCAUUCUUGAAUUCAGGAAUGGUUCGAUUGUGACAAAUUCCACUCUUGAAUUUACCGCCAAUGGCACCAUCCCAACUAACUCCACACUACAAGACGCCCUUGUUAAUGCGACCAGCACCAACUCAAGCUUGAACAUUAUUCCAACUUCUAUAAAAGUCACCCGGGUUCCUG